UUAAAGCUUUAAUUAAACAGU
rnacentral:piRNA from 1 species